rnacentral:tRNA from 1 species
UCGGCUGUGGUGUAAUUGGCAGCACUGCGGUUUUUGGUACCGUAUGUCCAGGUUCGAGUCCUGGCAGCCGAGC